AAGGAAGAAGCUAAACACAGCAAUUAGUUGUUACCUAAUAGAAAGUGAAAAUUCUUCACCAUCCUUA
rnacentral:tRNA from 1 species